GAUAGCUAGAACAGGCUAGAGUUGGAUAUUUCCCUUCUCCCAAGUCAGUUAGGUUCCAAUAGAACCCCAAUAGUAUAGGGUCUGGCAAAAUAGUUCUCUUGAGAGCAGAUUUUGUUAAGAAGAACAGAAUGCUCUGGUAUGUUUCAAAGUGAUUACUUUUUCUCUUUCCUAGCUGGAAGCUCUGAGAGAAUAUUUUCACCAUUUUUCACUAUGAGAACCUGGCAGGACUCCUGGAGAAUUGCUGGUGGACCUACUACAAGUUGAUUUGUGAGAGUCUACUUUCAUGAGGAUUUUCUUUUGGUGGAAGGAGAGAAGACAGAAGCAGAAAGGCACAGAGGCCAUGGAAGGGAAGAAGCAUGGAGGGUAUUGAAGGGGUCUGUCCCUAUCCACCAGUCCAGCCCCCAAGAUUUCUACCUGAACUAUAGGAGCAAAAGUGCUACCAGGGUGAGCUCUUUUGUUAUGAAACAGUUUUUGAGAUGCUGGUACAUAGACAUCAUGGAUUUGGUGCCCAGAAGAUAUUUUGGUAGAGUGCCUUAGCCUAGUAGCUAAGAGAGAGCUCUGGAGGCAUUUCCUUGAAUUUAAACCUUAGCUCUGCAAAUUUCUAGCUUUGUGAGCUUAGAAAAAUUACCUCACUAAGCCUCAGUUUCCCAUCUGUAUUAGUUUUCUGUAGCUGCCUUAGCAAAUUACCACAAACUCAGUAAACAAGAGAAAUUUAUUCUCUUGCUGUUCUGGAGGCCAGGAUUCUGAAAUCAAGGUGUUGGUGGGGCCAUCCUGCCUGGGAGGCUCUGGUGGAGAAUUUGUUGCUUGCCUCUUUUAGCUUCUGGUGUUUGCUGGCAUUUUUCAGAGUUCCUUGGCUUGUGGCUGUACCAUUCCAAGCUCUGCCUCUGUCUUUACAUCCCUUUCUCUCUCUAUCUCUGGUGUGUGAGAUCUCCUUCUUCCUCUCUCUUCUAAGACACUUGUGAUUGGAUUUAGAACCCACCUAGGCAAUCUAGGAUAAUCUCCCCACAUCAAGAUCCUUGCCCUAAUCACAUCUGCAAAGACUCUUUUCCUUUAUAAGGUAGCAUUGCAGGUCCCAGGGAUUAGGACUUGAAAGUUUUGGGGGCCCGUUUCUCAGCCAACUGCAACAUCCUACGAAGUGGUGAUAAUAAAAAUGCCUUUCUCCUAGUCUUGUGAUGAUAAAGAAGAAAACACAGAUAAAAUAUUUAGCAUAGUUCCUGGCAUACUAUAAACAUUAAUAAAUGCUAAUUCUUCUUCUCACUGAACUAAAAACUCUUUGUAAGCGGUUACCAUGUCCGUCUUUACACACUGUUGUAGCCCUGGUGACCAGCAGGAUGCUAUCAACAACAAAUAUUUGUUGAAAGAAGUGUAGUUAAAAGGAAUAUAUUCCCCCAAAUUUAUUUUCUCUAAAUAUGACUUGAGUACACUGAGAAAUCUGGAGGGUACACUUUGGAGAGUUGGGGUUUCAGCCUUGGGGCCACUGGGUUAGUGCCUUUAGGAGAAAUAGCAUUGCUGUCAAGUGGGUACCACACGGCUGGUAGUGGCGGGGAGGCUAUUUCCAAGUGGCCCAGGGAAGGCUUUUGUCUGGAAGCAGAUCAAGGCAGAUAAAACUGACUGUGAGCUCACAUGAGACACCAUAGGGAAUUCCAAAAAUACCUCAGUGAGUGAAAUUUUGCUGGGAUCUGGGAGCCAUGUCUUAACAGAAAGGAGCAAGACCUUGAUUUAGGACAAACGAAUAAAAUAAGCGUAUUGAUGCUUUGUUAGAGUCACCUUGCUCAUAGAGUCA
ensembl:lncRNA